GAACGAGGAUAUAUCCUUCGGGAUAUAAGCCGAGUGGCACAAGGGUGAGCAAUGCAUAGAUUACCUACCUUUAGGAUAAGGGCAACUUUGUGAAAACGGAGCUAAUACUUAAUAAUACAAAAGAAAAUAAUUUCCUUUUGUCAAAGGGAGGGUAGCAAUACCUUUCGCCUAGAGAGGGGUUUAUGUCCUAUCAGCUUGUUGGUGGGGUAAUAGCCUACCAAGGCGAAGACGGGUAGCCGGUUUAAGAGGAUGGUCGGCCACACUGGGACUGAGACACUGCCCAGACUUCUACGGAAGGCUGUAGUCGAGAAUCUUUCGCAAUGCCCGAAAGGGUGACGAAGCGACGUCGCGUGGGUGAAGAAGGCCUUCGGGUUGUAAAGCCCUGUCAGGAGUUAUGAAAUGUAAGUGCGCUAAUAACGUGCUUAUUUGACAAAGGCUCCAAAGGAAGCCACGGCUAACUCUGUGCCAGCAGCCGCGGUAAUACAGAGGUGGCGAGCGUUGUUCGGAAUUAUUGGGCGUAAAGAGCACGUAGGUGGGUUUGCAAGUCAGAUGUGAAAGCCUUCUGUUCAACGGAAGAAUUGCAUCUGAAACUGCUAAUCUUGAGUAUAGGAGGGGAGAAUGGAACUUCUGGUGGAGCGGUGAAAUGCGUAGAUAUCAGAAGGAACGCCGGCGGCGAAAGCGAUUCUCUGGCCUAUUACUGACACUCAGUGUGCGAAAGCUAGGGGAGCAAACGGGAUUAGAUACCCCGGUAGUCCUAGCCGUAAACGAUGGGCACUAAGUAGAGGGGAUUACCUAUAUCCUCUCUGCCGUAGCUAACGCAUUAAGUGCCCCGCCUGGGGAGUACGGCCGCAAGGCUAAAACUCAAAAGAAUUGACGGGGGCUCGCACAAGCGGUGGAGCAUGUGGCUUAAUUCGAUGCAACGCGAAAAACCUUACCGGGGCUUGACAUGAUAGAAGUAGGAACCUGAAAGGGGGACAAACGGUAUCCAGUCCGUAGCUAUUACAGGUGUUGCAUGGCUGUCGUCAGCUCGUGUCGUGAGACGUUGGGUUAAGUCCCCUAACGAGCGAAACCCUUGUUUUUAGUUACCAUCGGGUUAUGCCGGGUACUCUAGAAAGACUGCCGUCGUCAAGACGGAGGAAGGUGGGGAUGACGUCAAGUCAUCAUGGCCCUUAUGCCCCGGGCUGCACACGUGCUACAAUGGUCGGUACAGACGGAAGCGAAGCCGAGAGGUGAAGCGAAUCCUAAAAAGCCGAUCUCAGUUCGGAUUGGAGGCUGAAAUUCGCCUCCAUGAAGUUGGAAUCGCUAGUAAUCGCGGAUCAGCAAUGUCGCGGUGAAUAUGUUCCCGAGCCUUGUACACACCGCCCGUCAAGCCACCCAAGCAGGAUGCACCCGAAAACAUUAUAUCUAACCAGGGUAACUUGGAGGAAAAUGUUGAAGGAGUGUUUUGUGA
rnacentral:rRNA from 1 species